rnacentral:rRNA from 1 species
GACGUAGGGGCGAGCGUUGUCCGGAAUUACUGGGCGUAAAGAGCACGUAGGCGGGAACUUAAGUCAGGUGUGAAAGACCGUGGCUCAACCACGGGGUUGCAUUUGAAACUGGGUUUCUUGAGGGCAGGAGAGGAAAGCAGAAAUCCUGGUGUAGCGGUGAAAUGCGUAGAAAUCAGGAGGAAUACCAGUGGCGAAGGCGGCUUUCUGGACUGAUCCUGACGCUGAGGUGCGAAAGCGUGGGUAGCAAACAGGAUUAGAUACCCGUGUAGUCCCUGA